AGGGACCGCGACAAGGGUGCCGCGUUUAGCUAGAUUGCUAGGAGUUUUACUCUAGGUGGUUCAUCUCUCUUUUUGUUUUUGUUGGAGAGAGUGAGCAUCUUUGUAUCCUAUGUGUAUAGUGUUAAGGAUUUUAUAGGUUGGCGAAUUUCGUAAAGUUGGUUGGAGUCUUGAAGAGUUGAUCGCAGAAGUUUUUGACGAAAAGAUUCAAAUUGAAGAAAUAAGACUCAUU
rnacentral:lncRNA from 1 species